rnacentral:misc_RNA from 1 species
UCUCCGUUGGUGAACCAGCGGAGGGAUCAUUACCGAGUUUACAACUCCCAAACCAAAUGUGAACGUUACCAAACUGUUGCCUCGGCGGGAUCUCUGCCCCGGGUGCGUCGCAGCCCCGGACCACGGCGCCCGCCGGAGGACCAACCAAAACUCUUUAUGUAUACCCCCUCGCGGGUUUUUUUACAAUCUGAGCCUUCUCGGCGCCCCUCGUGGGCGUUUAGAAAUAGAAUCAAAACUUUCAACAACGGAUCUCUUGGUUCUG